GUGAAGAACGUAGCGAAAUGCGAUAAGUAAUGUGAAUUGCAGAAUUCAGUGAAUCAUCGAAUCUUUGAACGCACAUUGCGCCCGCUGGUAUUCCGGCGGGCAUGCCUGUUCGAGCGUCAUUUCAACCCUCAAGCUCUCCGGAGUUUGGUGUUGGGGCGCCUGGGGCUUUUCGACCUCAGGGCCCUCAAGUCCAUCGGCGGGACCGCCAGGACACUGAGCGCAGUAGUAUUAUUUCGCUCGGUAGGAUCUUCCACGGCGGGUCGAUCUGGCCGCUAAACCCCCCAAUUCUCACCAAAGGUUGACCUCGGAUCAGGUAGGAAUACCCGCUGAACUUAAGCAUAUCAAUAAGCGGAGGA
rnacentral:misc_RNA from 1 species